UAGCGGAGGAAAAGAAACCAACAGGGAUUGCCCCAGUAAUGGCGAAUGAAGCGGCAAGAGCCCAAAUUUGAAAUCGGGCAACCGAGUUGUAAUUUGGAGACGGGACACUAGAGAGGAGGAAGGCGAUUAAGUGCCUUGGAACAGGCUGCCGUAGAGGGUGAGAGCCCCGUGAAUCGCUGGAGACCGAUCAAUUAGUGCCCGCCGAAGAGUCGAGUUGUUUGGGAAUGCAGCUCUAAGUGGGUGGUAUAUUCCAUCUAAGGCUAAAUAUUAGCGAGAGACCGAUAGCAAACAAGUACAGUGAUGGAAAGAUGAAAAGAACUUUGGAAAGAGAGUGAAAUAGUACGUGAAAUUGUUGAAAGGGAAGGGUAUUUGAUCCGACAUGGUGUUUAGCAGCGGCCCGUUCCUCGUGGAUGGGUGCACCUGGUUUACACUGGGCCAGCAUCGGUUCUGGGAGCCAUAUACGGGGUUCGUGAAUGUGGCCCUUCGAUUCUGUCGGAGGGUGUUAUAGCGCGGACAUCUUGUGGCUAGCCGGGACCGGGGACUGCGGUGACUUGUCACCAAGGAUGCUGGCAGAACGAGCAAAUACCACCCGUCUUGA
rnacentral:rRNA from 1 species